GUUUGAGAACCACUGCCCUGAAGACACCAGAUCCCAUCUGAUCAUUGAAGCUAAACCGUGUCAGCCUUGGUUACUAUUUGGAUAGGAGACCAUCAACACAUAACAGGUCCUGUAGGCU
rnacentral:rRNA from 11 species